AUGAAACUCGGGCUCGCCUGCGUCGGGCCCCUGAGGAGCAGACUGCCCAUACCGCGGUUCAGGCUCCUCCGGUGGUCGACGGGGCUAUCCGUGGGCGCACUCGGUCCCGCACUGCUGCUCUCCGCGCGCAAAGCGCAUCUCGUGUCCUGGGGUCAAGUAGCCCCCCGAGGGGCUUAGAUGCGGGCCCUUUUUUGGAACAUCCGCGGCUUCGGCCAUGAUGGCCGACGCCGACAAAUCGUCGAGUAUGUGCGUGAUGAACACAUUGACAUCAUUGCGAUCCAGGAAACCAUGCGUACUGAGUUCUCCCUCCAUGAGCUUGACUGCCUCAGCUCCCACCUUUUCGCCUGGCAUUGGCUCCCUUCUAGUGGGACCACGGGCCACUCUGGUGGCAUCCUUUUAGGGGUUAAGUAUGCCACCUUCGACGUGGGC
rnacentral:rRNA from 1 species